rnacentral:misc_RNA from 1 species
AACGCACAUUGCGCCCUCUGGCAUUCCGGAGGGCAUGCCUGUCCGAGCGUUAUUUUCUAUCCUCAAGCGCGGCUUGUGUGUUGGGUGCUGUCCCCAAAGGGGACAUGCCUGAAAGGCAGUGGCAGUGUCACGUCUGGGUUUCCGAGUGUAUGGGGGCUCUGUCACUCACUCUGGGCGGAUCGACGUGCGUGCUGGCCAUGGCAGAUUAUUUUCACGGUUGACCUCGGAUCAGGUAGGAGUUACCCGCUGAACUUAA